rnacentral:lncRNA from 1 species
AGUACAUAAACGCCUACGUCAGAAUCUGGAGUCAGCUGGAGUGUGCCAGCAGCAAGAUGGCCCUUACCAGAUGCUGGCACCUUGAUAUUUGACUUCCCAGCCUCCAGAACUGUGAGAAACAAAUUUAUUUUCUUUAUAAAUUACUCAGAUUGUGGUGUUCUGUUACAGCAACACAAAAUGGACUAUGUGAAGAAAACCAUGUUGGAAUCUUGUGCUGUCAUUGAUAAGAAAGGAUCUGAGCAUUAGGUCAAUCACCAAAAAACUGAAAAAUCAGUAACAAUGAUGACAGACUCUUCAAAUAGGAUGAUUUAAAUUUUAGGAAAUUGGAAGAAGACUCCAAGAAACUUAACAAGGUCCUCCAAUAUUUUCCCCAAAAUGAUCUUCUCUGAUUUGACUAUGCUUGUUCCUCCAUAUCUCCCUGAUCCCUAGACUUCUUCUGUCCUCUAUCCACAUUCUCUCCCAAGGUGGGUCAUCUAGUUUCAUGACUUUAAAUCCUCCCUUAAACUGUUGGUUCUCAAAUAUGCACUUGUCACUUCUCUCCUAAACUCCAGACUCAUGUAUUCAGCUACCUACUUGACACUUCUGUGUGGAUGUCUAGUAGGUAAUAAUCUUAGAAUUAUUGUGCCCUGUCAAAUUCCUGCUCUUCCCUCUAAAAUAUCUUAAUACUAUUCAGUCUUCCCCAUUUCUGUUUAUCUCAGUUCCUUUUCAGGUCAAAAACCUGAGUUAUCUUUGAUUCCUCUCUUUCUCUCACAUUCUAGUAGUCCAGUUCCUUUCAUAAUCAGAUCAAUUAGUAAGCCCUAUCAGCUCCAUUUUUAAAAUGUAACUAGGAUCCCAACACUUCUCACCAUUUCCACUACUACUCUGUCUCCCACCUGAUUCUUUCAGGAGCCACUCGAUUCGUUUCCUGCUUCUACCCUCACUACUCUACAGUCUAUUGUCAGCUCAGCAGCCACGGUAAGCCUACUUUCACUUCCCUGCUCAAAACUCUAUUGGACUCUUCAUCUCAGAGUAAAGGUCUUUCCAGUGGUAUACAAUAUCCAAUCAUAUCUCUCCAGAUUGCCUACCUUCCUCCCCUCACUCCCUCCAUUCCGGCUGCACUGGCUCCUUGCUCUUCUUUGAACGCAUUAGGCACAUCCUGCUCCAGGACAUUUGCACUUGAUGUUCCCUCUAACUAGAAUGCUCUUUCUCUGGAUAUUCAUAUGUUUCUCUCCUCAUCACCUUCAAAUCUUUUCCCUCAUGUCAUCUUCUCAGAGAGACAUAUUCUGACCACCCUCUUUAAACUGUAGUCUUUACCAAUAUUCUGUACUACUUAUUCACCAUCUCUGCUUUUGUAUUUUCUUCUUAGUAUUUGCUACUUUCCAGCAUGAUCUGCUUUUCCCUAAUAUUUUAUGAUUUAUCACCCAUUAGAAUAUAAGGUCCAUGAAAACACGAAAAAUAUUUUCUUUUUUUUUUUUUGACUGAUCCCACUGCCUAGAACAGUGCUUGGUGCAUAGUAAUUAGUCAAUAAAUAUUUGUUGGAUGAAUGAGUAGAUGUCUUGAAAGUCAAAUAGGAAGGAAUAUGGUGAUGUCAUACAAUUUUAUUAAAAAAUAUAUGCAUCCCUAGUAUUCUAAGAAUUAGCACAUAGUAAAGUUAUAGCCUAAUUUUAUAAACUCUAAAAUCACUUUUAUGGUUUUUAGCUGCUGUUUUUCAAGAUAAAACUCCAAACAAGUACAGUUUUCAGUAUUUCUUAUGAUAUAUUCAUCAUUAUUUCAAAUGCAUUGGCUUUAUGGGGCCUGCACAAUCAUCUUUAGAUAAAAAUGACCUCUUAUAUUUCUGGGUGACUAGACACAAGCCUUAAUUAAUUUUUAAAAAGGGAUUCUAUGCAGAAGGGACAGUGUUUCUGCCUGUCUUCUUUCACACUUUGCACACCCAGGCCAUCUGGAGUGAAAAUGAAGUCUGCCCAGAGCUGCUGGAAGCCCCAGCUGCCCUGCUGCCCAUGGAGUCCUCUGAGGACGACUCCAGAGUCCCUCAACUCCUUGGAGGAGAUAAGCAGCCAACACAGUGUUGUUCAGCAGAUGCCACCGUCUGCCAUGUAAGUUAAAUAAGGCAGACAGCAGCAGCUAAGGAGAUUUUAGCCUCCUGUUCUAAACAGUAUUUUAGCUUAACAGCAGAAAACGUUUAACAUGUUCCCCCACUCCUAGAAAAACAAGCAAUUUAUCUUCAGGGAGAGGGAGAAAAAGCACUUUCCACCAUUCUGAUGGGUCAUCAAGUUUAAAAGCUCUCUUAUCCCUAAACCUUUAGAGAAACUAACAGAAAGUAUGUUUCCCUUUCCCUGCAGCUUAUUUACCUUGCAAAUUGUUUGUCUGCCCGGAAGUGCUACAAUAAUGGCUACAUAUAUAUUUUUGUUUCCAGAUUCAUUAAUGAUGUCAGAAGUGUAAAACUAAAGGCAGAAGACUGUUGUUUUCAAGAUUGCUCCCCAACUAGGCUUGGCGACCCUUGAAGGCAGAGGACCUUUCUGAGUUAUCUUUGUACCCUGCAUAGUCCUGGCACAAAAUAGCACCUAAGUCAUUCAUUUAGCAAAUUUUUUAAAACAAUAUUCCUGUCAUGACACAUUCAGCAAUUAUUUAUUUAUUUAUUUAUUUAUAUUAUUUUUAGAAACAGGGUCUUGCUCUGUCACCCUGGCUGGAGUGCAGUGGUGCAAUCAUAGCUGCAACCUCGACCUCCCAGGCUUAAGUGAUCCUCCCACCUCAGUCUGUAGAAUAGCUGGGACUACAGGAAUACACCACCACAACCCAGCUCAUUAAAAAAAAAAUUCUGUAGAGACAAGGGUGUCUUGCUAUGUUUCCCAGGCUGGUCUCAAACUCCUAGCCUCAAGCAGUCUUCUCAUGCUGGCCCCCCAAAUCACUAGAAGUACAGGCAUGAGGCACCAUGCUUGGCUAUAAGCACAUUUUUAAUGAGCACUUAGUAUGUGCCACAUGCUGCAGAUGUAGCCACAAGCCUCUGACCUCACAGACCUCAUAUUAAACAAGUAAACAAAUAAGGUAAUUUUAGAUUUUUUUCAGUGCUACAAAAUAAAAACAGGGAAAUAGGAGAGAGAGUAGAGAACAGGACUUUGAGAAGAAAGUCUGGAAUCCCCAAGAAGGUGGGUGUCAGAAAAGAGAUUUGGCACAGACCCCGCCCCUUUUUUUUUUUUUUUUUUUAACCACCAGGCCCUGGAAUUUGAACCACCAUCUUCUGGAGUGACUCAAAUGCAGAGGAAGCCAGGCCUGCUGCUAACGUUUCUGAGAGGCGGCAAGAGUAUAAAUGGAGAUCCACAUAUGUAUAAAUAAAGAGUGUGAAUCAAGCUAACAAACUGUUUAAUAAAAUAUGAUCUACCCUCUUAGCUUGACAAAUCAACUUUUCAAACACCUGGAAGAACAAGUUUGCACUCAGGAUUCUCAGACUCCUCAGAGUUCUGCACUGGGAUGUGGAAGGGCUGUGCAAGCCAGCCCUUGGGUCCCUGAUCCCUGUCUCCUGGCCUGUGCCCGUCUCUUCUCAGCCUGGCUCCAACUCCCAUUGAGAGGAAGUUCUUGUACACAUAUGAUACUGCAGCCCUUAUGUCUAAUAUUUAUCCAUACCUUCUGCAAACAGCCACUGUGUGACCACCCUUGGGCUUCCCAGGGGUCUGCAAACUGACAAUACAGACAAAGGGAACCAAGGCAGAGGCUCACAGACUGUAGAAAUGGGCUUGGGGCCAUCUGGGCAGAGACUUGUGGAAUCCCAGGUAAGCAGGGCAUCUUAGUUUGCUUGUGCUGCUUAAAUACUAUGGAAGAGGUAAUUUAUAAAUAUUAGAAUUUAUUUCUCAGAGUUCUGGAGGCUGGGAAGUCCAAGGUCCAGGUCAAGGUGCUAGCAGAUUUGCUGUCUGGUGGGAGCUGCUCCCUCUGCUUCCAAGAUGGCACUUUUUUGCUGUGUCCUCUGGAGGGGAAGAAAGCUUAGACGGGCAAAAGGGGGCAAUUAUCUCUCUGAGACCUCUUUUGUAAAGGUAUUAAUCCAUUCCUGAGGGCUCUGCCCUCAUGACUUAAUCACUUUCCCAAAAUCUCAUCUCUUAAUACUACCUCAAUGAAGAUUAAGUUUCCAUAUGAAUUUUGAAGGGGUCACAUUCAAGCCACAGCACAGAGCAUGACCUAGCAGAGGAGACGCAAGCUCUGGGUGUGUAAGUCCCCUUUGCUCCAUGGACUUCGUGCUUCAUGGGAAGGGAUGUGGCUGGAGGGUACCCCUCUACAGCACAGGGCCCAGAGCACCCCUCUUGCCUUGGGUUUAGGGAUAGUAUAGGUGGUGGUGGUGAGGCUACUUUUGCUCAUUAAGAAAAGCCUCUUUGAGGGGUGGGACCGAGAAUGUCAUUUGAAUGGAAACUUGAAUCAUAAAGAUGAGUCAUACAAGCCAAGACUUGGGAGAAGGGCAUUCCUAAAUGAGAGAAGAGGAUAUGCCCAGCUCUCAUAAGCUCUGAAGAAGAGUCACCAACUGUGGUGGGUGGAGCCUAAUUAAGAGGAGAAGAAUGGUAAGAGACAAGGUGAGAUGGUCAGGCAGGAGCAGGGAGCCUGGAGGUCAGGUAAGGGGGCUUGACUUUGCCAUGGGUGCAAUGGGAAGCCUCUGGAGGGUUGAUAUGAUUUGAAUUCUGUUACAGCACGAUCACUCUGGGUGCUGUGUGAAAUGGAUGAAUAGCAAGGAGCUGCAGCCAAGAGCAAAUCAACAGAAGCACCACUCAAAAUGCCUCAGUACCCAUUACAUAAGGAUUCUUGUGAUUAAUUCUUCCCCAAAAUUUAGAGCCAAGAAAAAUCCAGCUCUCCUACUGAGAGUUGUAGAUUAGAGCUUCUGUUUCUAAUCUACAAACAAACAAAUGUGUGCAAUGUCUUUUCAUGACAAUUCCAACUUUAUCAUAAGGUUGUCUACUAAGAAACUAGUAGGCAGGUUUCUCUUGUUGUCUAGACCACCUGAAAGCUCAUAGCUGAGUUUGCACUUAUUUGCAGAGUAAACUGCUCAUUUAUCAAUCUGGCAUCCAAUCACAACUUUUUAGCUAACUGUAUGUUUUCAUAAACACUUUUCUCACACAGUAUAAAUUUUAAAUAAAUAACAAUAGCAAUUAAGUAGUAACAACUCGAGACUGGUAUCUGACUAGUGGUUCUUUCACCAGUGUGUACACUGGAAGUUUUGUUUUGUUUUUUGAUGUUUGUACAUUGUAAUUGCAGGACAGGUAGUAAGAAGAUUUCAAAUUCACAUUAGCUUUGCUACCACUAAAUUAUGGUGACUGUUCCUAAUUUGCAAACAAAUGUAUGCAAUCUCUUUUUAUGAUUAUCCCAACUUUAUCAUAAGGUUGUUAUAUUUUAAGACAUAUGAAAAGAUAUAAAGUAUAAUACAGUGAAUACAUAUAUAUCUAACUCCCAGUUUAAGAAAUAAAACAUUAGCAAAUACAGCUGAAGCUCCAUGAAUUCCCCUCCCAAAUCAUACUCCCUUCCCACCCGCAGAGGGAACCUCUAUUCUGAGCCUGGUGUUUAUCACCACCAAGAAUUAAAAAAAUACUUUUACUAUAUAUACACAAGUAUGUACCCCUUAGAAAUGAGUAGUAGUACUGUUUUGUAUGUCUUUACACUUUAAGUAAAUGGUAUAAGUUAUUUCUUGUUUUUGCUCAAAAUUGUUGAAAUUUAUGCCCUUUGAUUCUAUAGCUGACUUUCACUGUGAGUCAUUCCAUCAUUAUUUCUGUAUUCAUUCUCCUGCUGAAGUACAUUUCAGGUUGUUGCUAUUCCUCUGCUGAUCCCCCUCCCCCAACACACAUGCUUUUAUUAAUAAAUCUGCUGGAACAUUCUUGCAUACAUCUCCUUGGAUGUGUUGUAUCAUAAACCACAAAAUAUACUGAGCUUUUCAGACACAGGUUCUACAUUAAGUCAUUAUUUUCAGAUUGAUUUACCAUUGCUCAUAUUCAAUCCUUUAGAAUGGCCUCAAGAGGAUAUUUUAUAAUAUUGGAGCACAAUCCAGAGAGGGACAGAGUAAUUUUAAAAAUCAGAAUUACAGAAUUUUUUUAAAUCCCUGUAAGGUACCAAGGAGCUCACCUAAUCGAACACCUUCAUUUUAUGGACAAGAAAACCAAUGCUCAGAGGGGGAAGGAGUUGUCUAGUAGUGAGCACUGGGCUAUCGGGGGAAGCAGAUACCUUCAUUGAGCCUCCACUGUGAUGGACAUGUGUACAAACCAUAAAAAUAAGCCCCUUGCUUUCCCUUCUGUUCUCUAAGCCUCACUAAACAAUGUGCCAUGAAACAUAGCCCACUUGAUGAAGUCCUUCCUGAAUGAAUUACAAUUGUGCUUCCUUUAUCAAUUCAAGCCACACUUUUUUUCAUUUUUGAAGAGUCAAUUUCACCACAGCUUUACUGAAGUAGAAGCAAAGAUCAGAAGAUAAAAUAGAUUUCUUUACCAAGCAUAACUAGAAUAACUAGAUUUACAAAGGACAAUUUUUUAAAAAUCACAAAGGAGAAAAUAGAGCAUAAAGUUGGAAGAAUUUCUCAGAGCAAGGAUGAGUUCCCAUGACUGGGAAACUAUUCAGCUUCCUUAGUUAAGAGUGAAUUUUAAAAUCUGCAUUUCAUUUGGUGAGUUUCAACAAGGACUCUUUCCUUGACCAAACCUUAAUCAUGUUCCUCUGAGGCCUCUUCUUGACUAGGCCUGGUCCUGGCCGGCAGAGCCCAGCUCAGCAAGAAUCCCCCGACCCUUAAUACCUAACCAAAUUCUCUUAGUAAUUUCCUAUCCACUGACCCCUUCGCCAUGCCCAUUGGCCAUAAAUCCCCAGCUGUCCCUGCUGCAACCAGAGUCAAGAUUAAUCUCUCCCCUGCUGCAGUAGUCUUGAAUAAAGCCUUCCUUGCCUGUUUAAUUAUGUUUCAUGCUUUUUUUCUUCAACAGAUUCACCUCCCAAUACCACACUGUCACUGAGUCCUUCAUCCCAAACUGCCUGUAAUUAGGAUGGCCAUGUGUAGCCGUUUACUGAGACAGUCCCAGUGCAUGCCUGACACAGAAGCACAAUAACCAAUGGCUGCCCAAUCUACUCUCAAAAGUGCCUUGGUUUGCACAAUAAAUUGUCUUCACACACAUGAGGUGUGAAAUUUACUGGCUAGAGACACUCAUUAAGAAGAGGACUUUAAAAAUGGUGCUACAGCAAUAUACACAGAACAAAAGCAAAUUCAUGAAACUAGAACACUCCCUUUUUCAUAGUGCCUCCAGAGGCAUAGUUACAUUUGAUUUAUAUCAUAUUCUAUCCAAGUUAAGUGUUUCACCAUAAAUAAAAAUUGAUUUUCACGAAUUUCUCAUUCAAACAUAUUCAUACAAUGCCUUUAUUAUGCCUCUCCUUUGGCAACUACAAAUGGGUUUAUUAUAGAACACUGGCCGGAAAUGUGACAUGCAUUCCAGAAAGAGAGGAAGAUGGGGGAAGGAGACAGGUAGAAUGGAGAUAGAUAGAAAGAGACCAGGAAGGCCAAGGUAGUAUAGGCUUCAGGAAAAACAGCUGAGAUUGGGGAAUCGAUACCUCAUUUUACAGAAAUUGCAUUAAAUGACUGAAAUGAAUUUGCAAAACAAUAAUUGAGGCUGACACCUGCUCUUGACAGAAGGGAUGAAUCAAGACUGAGCUGUGCUUUAGCACCUGCUGUGGUGAGAAAGAACAAGAGGGGAACUGCUAAAGCUUUUUGCCUAGAAAUGCUGAGUUUUUUAAUUGCUUUCUGAAGCCAAAAGAGAAAAUUCCUCGUUAAGGUGGGGUUUGCUGAGUGAUUUUUGAGCAAUGGUUUGUUUGUUUGUCCUAGCUACUUCCACGUAUUUGAAAACAUUUGCAAGAGGCC